CAUGACGUGCAGCUGUGGGCGAGAGCAGUAACAGCAGAUUGGGUGAAUUUCUGGGAAAGGUUCUUCGUUGGUUGGCAAUUG
rnacentral:scRNA from 1 species